rnacentral:rRNA from 1 species
UCCGUAGGCGGAUUGAUAAGUCAGAGGUGAAAUCCCACAGCUUAACUGUGGAACUGCCUUUGAAACUGUUAGUCUUGAGUUAUAUGGAAGUAGAUAGAAUGUGUAGUGUAGCGGUGAAAUGCAUAGAGAUUACACAGAAUACCGAUUGCGAAGGCAGUCUACUACGUAUAUACUGACGCUAAUGGACGAAAGCGUGGGGAGCGAACAGGAUUAGGUACCCUGGUAGUCC